AUGGUGAUUAAGAAGAGGUGAACGGGCAGUCAGAGCUCAAUCCACAUCGUCUCUCUCCAUUCCCCAAUAUCAAAUCAGAAGACGAACCAGAGGACGAGAGAGGGGAAUGGCCGGCGCUGCUGAUGCAGUGAGUUCCCCCCUAAUUUUUCUUCUCAAUCCUUCUUUCUGUCUUGUUUUUGCUGAUGCUACACCGUAGAUCUGUAGGGGAUUGGGGUCCUUCUUUCUGUCUUGUUUUUGCUGAUGCUACACCGUAGAUCUGUAGGGGAUUGGGGGGGGGGGUAGUUUUGUUAGUGGAUCGAGUGUAGAUUAGUAGAUUCAAGUCUACGAUGGACUCCAGGAUUUAUAGGCAUUUUUUUGUAUCCUUACUUGUUCAAGCAAUCAACAGAUUGGAGGAUUGAUUUUGGAGGUGGUAGUUUGUACGAACAAGUUCAAGUUGUAUUUUUGUAGUGUCUCAAAGGGGGCGGCCAGAGUAAGCGGCUGCUAGGCCUUUUUUGGUAGGUGGUGCAGACCUAACGCCAAGUUAACCUCAAUUUUUAGUCUUUUUAAUUUCAAUUUUUUUGUUAGCUUCUUAGUCUGAAAAUAGAUUUUAGUCCAGGGGCUUGUUGUGAGUCAGCAACAUGAGGUCCUCGCCCAAGCUAAGUGCAUGUCUGCUGCAAUGUAGGAAUGUGUUACUGUGCCCAUGUAUCCAGUAGAGUAGAUAGGAUUUUUGUAUGUCCAUAAUUCCCCCGCAAGAUGAGGUACCGUUCUUUUUCUUUUUGUAUUAAAUAUCUGAUUAGUAGUUUGAAGCAGAGAAUUGCGUCCAUAGUUUAUAUUUUUUUUAUGUUUUUUUUGCAUGUUGAAUGCACAAUAGUGUCUCUCGCUUAAUGAAUGAUACGUACACUCGUGCGUAUUCGAGAAAAAAAAUAGUGUCUCUCGCUCACGCACGUCGAUCGGCAAUGUCGGUGUGGCAGAUCAUACUGCCAAAGUUCUUGUUGGUGAUAUACCUCAUAUCUCGUGUCCUUAUUGUUCAAGCAGCCAAUAGAUUGGAGGUGUUUUUGUGUGUUUUUUCAUGCAGUUGUAAGGUGCUGGAGAGUGUGGCAGAUCAUACUGUUUUUGUGUGUUUAAGUUCAGUUAGGUUCAGUUAGUCUGGUUCUUUUUCUGCUUCUUCAUAUGUAAAGCCAAGUAAAUUGUACUUCUUUAGUCUGAAGUUCAGUUAGGUUCAGUAAGGUGCUGGAGAUGUACAUGCAUGCAUAUUCAUUUUUGUACACUUUUCGUUUUUUACAAAAUAAAUUGCAUUGGAUACUAAAUUUGUUAACAAUACAUGAACUAGUGAUUACAGUAUAGGCUGGGCAUUUAUAUCUGACACCGUAGACAGUUACUUGUUUGUUCUGUGUGUGCAAAAUGCCGUUUCUAGAGAAUGAACCAGGCAGGAGAACCGUUGUAGCUGCUUACUCAUUGAGGCACUGGUUAGAACUAGUAGUAAAGCCAAGUAGCUAUAAUAGUGAUUAGUAUCUUUUUUGUUUUUUUACUAGUAGCACCACCUUUUUUUCUAUGUAGGUACAUUUAGUUCAGAGGUUAGACUCAUGACCAUCACAGGAGUAUUUUCUGAUCUGUCGAGUAGCAAAAAAUGAAAUAUCUUAGCCUAGAUUAGCAUCGUUUCUGAAUUAAUUUAGUCAUAAAAAUGUAUUAAAAAGCAAAAAAAUUGUCAUUUUUGGGGGGCAGGAUUUAAUUUCAGGAACCUGAACGGACCCUGUGUGAAGCUAUUCGAAACUACUUUUUGUUUGUAAUUCCUUUUUUUUCAGAAGAGCAUAAUAGUAACCACAUGUACAACAAUACUUUCGUUUCUUCUGUUUCCUGAAACUGAAACUACUAGUCUUUUUACAGCAUAAGUACUUUUGUUUUGGUUGUACCAUCGGGUAAGCAUGGUUUUUGGGCUUUUUUCGCAGUCAUUAAGCUGCAUGAAUACAUUGUGAAAUAUAUAUAUGUUUCUGAGGUGAAAGAAUGACACUAUAAAGUGUGUUUUUAGUGAGUUAUCCAUUCUAAUUUUUUUUGCUUCCUUUUUUGAUGUGUACAGGGGGUUUGUGGAGUUUGUUUCAACCAUUGCAAGUAUGAGAGCAAGGGAAGCGGUUUCAGCAUGCUUGCAUGGGAGGAGUUCAAGAAUGCAGGGGUAACUCACUCCUAACUUUUUGUACUAAUGUCAUCACAAUACUCACAACUUUUUGUCGUGACAUCACUCCUAACUUUUUUGUUUUUUUUGUUCAAAUCAGGUUGUGCCUUGCAAUGAAAGGGCCCGUUUCAACAAUGCGACAAGAGAGAAGGUGACGUUUGUGGCAAACCAACGGGCAUACACUGUAAAGUGUUACAAGGGUCACAGAAAGAGCGCUAUGUAUGGGAGAGGUUGGAGGAAGUUCUAUGAAGACAACAAUCUGGGCAAGGGUCAGAUGGUGGUGUUCUACCUGGAUGAACCUUCGCCUACGGCAUCUAUUUUGUGGUUCCAGGUGGGCAACGGCUCUGAAGAUGAACAGCCUAUGGAAGAGGGUGAUCCCAUUGAAGAUUCAGAUUUCAGGUAAUGAGGAUGGAGAAGCUUCAAGCGAUGAUAGUGAAGGCAUUGUUCGCACUAGGGGGCUUUUGCUUAAUGAGACAGAGGAUGCUCAGCUACAAGGGCCGAUGGUUUCAUCGGGUUUGCUUUUGUUCACCGCCUCACAAGGACUGACAUUCGCUUGGGCAUGAUGGAAGAAGUGGAAAGACUUCGCAGCUAGCAGAGGACUCAAAGUCAACACAGCUGUUCUUAUUGGCUUCAAGAGCAGCGAGAGGGAUGAUGUCCAUGUCCUGGUUAUCUUGAAGAAGCUUGGCUAGGCAGCAGCCACAGCAACUAAUGACAAGCAGAGCUGCGUCUAUAAUACUCAUCUUUUGGGUAUUCUAUAUAUUUCUGUGUCGAAGUCUGUAUGACGAACCUUUAAUUUAUGUGUACACCGAACAAUGCGGCUUGAAUAAUAUAUGAUGGGAACCUUUUUCUACAUUA